rnacentral:tRNA from 2 species
GGAGAGAUGGCUGAGUGGUCGAAAGCGGCUGACUGCUAAUCAGUUGUAGGGGCGUAUUGCCCCUACCCCGGGUUCGAAUCCCGGUCUCUCCG